AGCAGUGUGGCUCAGUGGGUAGAGCAUGGGCCUGGAAGUCAGAAGGACCUGGGUUCUAAUCCCUGCUCUCCCA
rfam:Ornithorhynchus anatinus chromosome 4, whole genome shotgun sequence.